AGCUGGGACCGAAGACUCUAGGCUAAGUUAUCUCUCUAUGUAGAUGGUGUCAGGGAGCGAAGCUACUGACCGAGCCGCUGAUUUAUCAUUGUGGAAGUUGUUCUUCAAAGUACUCCUAACUGAAAUAAUCACCAUUUCAAGUAAGUGUGACAAGGUGAAAUUAUAUCAGAAGCACCGUCUUAUGUAUGUCAUUCUUCAAUUCCUGAGACCGCCAAAUGUUGUUUAAACUGUCUUAUCCACACCCCUAAGGUUAGAACGUGCAUAUGAACUUCAGGAAGAAAAACCAAAUUGCUUUUUAACUUGAGGCUCUUGAGGAUUGCCUUCCAGGAAACACUGAGGAAAUGUGUUUUUAAGAAUUGCAAUGCACCAUGAAUGCAUCCUUUAGAGCAGACAGUGGGUAAAUGAUGAUUUAUUGCUAAUUACCUUUUAUUUGGAGAUGCUGCUGUUGAAGAAACUAUUUAAGCACUGUAGAUGAUGCUUUUGUUAUGUUUGGCAGUAGGGAAUUAAAAUGGCAACUGAGUCUUGAGAAUUGAAGGGAAAGGUGAUUUUAUACCUGUUGACUUAGCAAGGAAAUAUUAGAGAAAAGCUAAAUUUUGUGUUGAUUCUAAUCUCGAUUUUAAAAGUUUUUUUUGUAAUAAAGGUUUAUGAGAAUAAAAGUUGCCCUCAGCUGGAUUCACCGAAGAAGCCAAACAGUAAAUAGAUAAAGAGCCUGAACUCUUCUUCCCACAACAGUGAUUUUUCACUGAGGACUCUCUGGGUAUAUAAGGGGCAGCGGUUCUUUUUAUAUGAUUUGUGUAUGUUCCCCAAGAUUGUGAAGUCUGUUCCUGGGCAAUUUUCAAGUUAAAAUUGUGUUACGGCUACCCCGAAGGUUGUCAUUUCUUGGUUUUUCUCUUGUCAGUCAAUUCAUAACUGUUUAUUAAGCCCACAUGGGGUAUACACAGAAUCAUAUGCCGUUUAUAUGUGUGUGAGUGUGUAUGACUGGCUUCAGGUCUAGAAGCUUACAGUCUAUAAACAAAAGUACAGUUGUAUAUGUGGGGGGGUAUUGUAUGUAUGGGGAUAUAUAAAAUAAUUUUUUAAUUAUAGAAGUCAGUCGUAGUUUUGUUUUGUUUUUUUGUUUUGCUUUGUUUUGUUUUGAACAGUAUUGUCCUGAAACUCCAAAUGCAUUUACUCUGAGAAAAGCAUUGCUUCAAGCGUUGAGGCUCUUGAGGAUUGCCUUCCAGGAAACACUGAGGAAAUGUGUUUUUAAGAAUUGCAAUGCACCAUGAAUGCAUCCUUUAGAGCAGACAGUGGGUAAAUGAUGAUUUAUUGCUAAUUACCUUUUAUUUGGAGAUGCUGCUGUUGAAGAAACUAUUUAAGCACUGUAGAUGAUGCUUUUGUUAUGUUUGGCAGUAGGGAAUUAAAAUGGCAAGUGAGUCUUGAGAAUUGAAGGGAAAGGUGAUUUUAUACCUGUUGACUUAGCAAGGAAAUAUUAGAGAAAAGCUAAAUUUUGUGUUGAUUCUAAUCUCGAUUUUAAAAGUUUUUUUUGUAAUAAAGGUUUAUGAGAAUAAAAGUUGCCCUCAGCUGGAUUCACCGAAGAAGCCAAACAGUAAAUAGAUAAAGAGCCUGAACUCUUCUUCCCACAACAGUGAUUUUUCACUGAGGACUCUCUGGGUAUAUAAGGGGCAGCGGUUCUUUUUAUAUGAUUUGUGUAUGUUCCCCAAGAUUGUGAAGUCUGUUCCUGGGCAAUUUUCAAGUUAAAAUUGUGUUACGGCUACCCCGAAGGUUGUCAUUUCUUGGUUUUUCUCUUGUCAGUCAAUUCAUAACUGUUUAUUAAGCCCACAUGGGGUAUACACAGAAUCAUAUGCCGUUUAUAUGUGUGUGAGUG
ensembl:lncRNA